UUGGCCACUCUGUGCAGUGCAUCGUAACAUAGAUUUCCUUCAUCUUCAUGAUUUUCUUGUGUUCAUCUCUAUAUCAGAUUCUAUACGCUCUCAAUAGAAUUUAGAUCAGAGGAAAAUGCAGGUCAAUCUAUAGCGAUAAUUCCAGUGUAGUGUCAGCUGCAGCAUACUCUGAAUCUCUAGUUUUCAUCAAUUGUAAGUCAAAAUUAAGUUGCAUUCAAUCACGAAUAAAAUGGACUAUAAGUCCACAGGAGAAUACCCCUAGAGAUUGUAUAUUGUAAGAAUUAACUCUGUAUUUAUUCAAAUAUUCAACCAUAAUCAAUUUGAUUGGUUCGUCUCAAAUUUUUCUUCUAGAAUAUGACUAGAUUUUUAUAUAUCAUUAAAGCAAUUUUAGAACAUCUAUCCGCUUUGUGUAAUGGCUUCUAGGCACAGGCAGGCCCAUAAGCACAACAACAGCUGCCGCUAUUACUAUAUAUGGUUAAAAACCCGAUGGGGAUAUGGUAUCACUUUAGCUCUGUUUAUUAUAUAAGAAUUCAGCUCUUCUUCUAUUCUAUGAUCAAUUUUGAAAUCUUUGAUACACUCUUCAAUAUCAUCUAUCGGCUUCUCACUUUAUUGAC
rnacentral:sRNA from 2 species